rnacentral:rRNA from 1 species
UGGGGAAUAUUGGACAAUGGGCGAAAGCCUGAUCCAGCCAUGCCGCGUGUGUGAAGAAGGUCUUCGGAUUGUAAAGCACUUUAAGUUGGGAGGAAGGGCAGUAAGCGAAUACCUUGCUGUUUUGACGUUACCGACAGAAUAAGCACCGGCUAACUCUGUGCCAGCAGCCGCGGUAAUACAGAGGGUGCAAGCGUUAAUCGGAAUUACUGGGCGUAAAGCGCGCGUAGGUGGUUCGUUAAGUUGAAUGUGAAAGCCCCGGGCUCAACCGGGGAACUGACUCCAAAACUGGCGAGCUAGAGUAGGGCAGAGGGUGGUGGAAUUUCCUGUGUAGCGGUGAAAUGCGUAGAUAUAGGAAGGAACACCAGUGGCGAAGGCGACCACCUGGGCUCAUACUGACACUGAGGUGCGAAAGCGUGAGGAGCAAACAGG